GCUGGGUGCGGUGGUGCAUGCCUGUAAUCCCAGCAGCUUGUGAGGCUGAAGCAGGUGGAUCAUGAACUCAAAGCCAGCCUCAGCAAAAGCGAGGUGCUGAGCAACUCAGUGAGACCCUGUCUCUA
rnacentral:sRNA from 1 species